GGGCCCGCACAAGCGGUGGAGUAUGUGGUUUAAUUCGAUGCAACGCGAAGAACCUUACCAGGGUUUGACAUCCUGCGAAUCUCUUGGAAACGAGAGAGUGCCUUCGGGAACGCAGUGACAGGUGGUGCAUGGCUGUCGUCAGCUCGUGUCGUGAGAUGUUGGGUUAAGUCCCGCAACGAGCGCAACCCACGUCUUUAGUUGCCAGCAUGUAAUGAUGGGAACUCUAACGGGACUGCCGGUGCAAACCGCGAGGAAGGUGGGGAUGACGUCAAAUCAUCACGGCCCUUACGUCCUGGGCUACACACGUGCUACAAUGGCCGGUACAGAGGGCAGCCACAGCCGCAAGGUGGAGCG
rnacentral:rRNA from 1 species